rnacentral:rRNA from 1 species
GACGAACGCUGGCGGCGUGCUUAACACAUGCAAGUCGAACGGAAAGGCCCUGCUUUUGUGGGGUGCUCGAGUGGCGAACGGGUGAGUAACACGUGAGUAACCUGCCCUUGACUUUGGGAUAACUUCAGGAAACUGGGGCUAAUACCGGAUAGGAGCUCCUGCUGCAUGGUGGGGGUUGGAAAGUUUCGGCGGUUGGGGAUGGACUCGCGGCUUAUCAGCUUGUUGGUGGGGUAGUGGCUUACCAAGGCUUUGACGGGUAGCCGGCCUGAGAGGGUGACCGGCAACAUUGGGACUGAGAUACGGCCCAGACUCCUACGGGAGGCAGCAGUGGGGAAUAUUGCACAAUGGGCGGAAGACUGAUGCAGCAACGCCGCGUGCGGGAUGACGGCCUUCGGGUUGUAAACCGCUUUCGCCUGUGACGAAGCGUGAGUGACGGUAAUGGGUAAAGAAGCACCGGCUAACUACGUG